rnacentral:tRNA from 1 species
ACCGCGACAACUCAGCUGGCAGAGCAUCUGUCGGGUAAGCGGAAUGUCGCCGGUUCGAUUCCGGCUCGCGGCU